CAUGAGAGAGAAACAAGAGAGAGAAAGCUCUUAGAGAGACUGUGAUAUAGAGAGUGAGAGAAGAACUGUGUUUAGUGUUUGAGAUGAGAAGCAAAGAGCGAAACGUGUAAAUGGCGUUCACGAAUCUGCACGAACCUCUCAUUUUCUGAGCAUUUUAGCUUUCUCCUCGUCGUUGCGUUUUUUUUUUCUUCCUCUCUCUCCGUCUGUCGUUUUUCAUUUCCGAAACUCGGAACCAGAGAGCGAGUGUUGAACGAGAUGAGUCGUUUAGCGUUCAAAACCGAGGUAUACGACGGCGACACGCGUUUGGGCGAACUCGACGUAGUUCCGGUGGCCGCGUUCCAGAACUUCCGGUUCCCGAACAACGAGAUUCGCAUCCACCACACAACACCGAAGAGCGAGCGUUGCCCUCCGCUCUCGAUCCUCCAAACGAUUUCCGCAUUCGCCGUUCGCUGCAAGCUCGAUUCCUCACUCGCCGUUGAGCAACCGCACCUAAUCAACCUCCACGCCUCAUGCUUCCACGAAAUGAAGACGGCGGUUGCUGUGGUUGGGGACGAGGAGUUUCACCUGGUGGCGAUGCCGAGCAAGAGGAAGAAGUUCCCGUGCUUCUGGUGCUAUGCUGUUCCGAUGGGACUUUACAAUUCCUGCUUGGGGAUGCUGAAUAUGAGGUGCCUUGCGAUUGUGUUCGAUUUGGAUGAGACGCUCAUCGUUGCGAACACGAUGAAGUCGUUUGAGGAUAGGAUUGAUGCUUUGCGCGGUUGGCUUUCGCGCGAGACUGAUCCCUUGAGGGUGCAGGGGAUGUCUGGUGAGCUUAAGCGUUACCUGGAGGACCGGUUGCUGCUGAAGCAAUAUUUGGAAAGCGACUCUGUGCAUGAUAACGGGAAGAUUUAUAAGGUUCAAAUGGAGGAGGUGCCGUCCUUGUAUGGUAGCCACGAGAAACUGGUUCGCCCGGUUGUCAGGUUGCAAGAGAGGAAUAUUGUCCUCACUCGUAUCAAUCCCGAGAUUCGUGAUACUAGUGUACUAGUGAGGUUACGACCUGCUUGGGAGGAUUUAAGAUGCUAUUUAACUGCAAAAGGACGCAAGCGAUUUGAAGUAUAUGUUUGUACUAUGGCUGAAAAGGAUUAUGCUUUGGAAAUGUGGAGGCUUCUUGACCCAGAGGCACAUCUUAUUGGUCUAAAGCAAAUCCUUGAUCGUGUGAUUUGCGUCAAAUCAGGCUCCAGAAAAUCUUUACUAAAUGUUUUCCAAAAUGGUAUAUGCCAUCCAAAAAUGGCAAUGGUGAUUGAUGACCGGUCAAAGGUUUGGGAAGACAAGGACCAGCCUAGGGUUCAUGUUGUUCCUGCCUUUACUCCUUAUUAUGCUCCUCAAGCAGAGACUGCCAAUGCGGUUCCAGUCCUGUGCGUAGCAAGAAAUGUUGCAUGCAAUGUCAGAGGUUGCUUUUUCAAAGAGUUUGAUGAGAAUUUAUUACAAAGAAUUGCUGGAAUGUUCUUCGAAGACGAGGUUGCAAGUUUACCUCACCCUCCAGAUGUGAGCAACUACUUGAUGUCUGAGUUCACUGGAUGGCAGGAUGUGCCAAAUGCUAAUGCUAAUGCCCCCAUCAGUGAAGGAAUGAAUGGGUCAGAUGUUGAACGGAGGUUAAACCAGCCCGAUGAUAAGUUUUCUGUCGAUUUGGUCACCCGACCCAUGGCAAACAGUUUUGAGUUAAGACAUGAAACCUCUCAAUUAACUGCUGGUAUUACUUCAAUUGUCACUGGCCCUGGAUCGUCAAGAACCCUUAUUCCUUCUCAGAAACCUAGUUUGCUUGGACCUCCAGUCAAGUAUGAUGGCAGCUCUGUUGGUCAUGAAUAUGACAUGAAGAAAGGACUAUUAACUAUGAGGCAUGCUCCAGAUAUAAAAGGUCAAAGUUCAGCUGAACCCCCUCUGAUAUCGAGGCCACCUGUUCAAACUUCACCAUCUUUAAUGCAGCCAAGUGGAGGCUGGUUGGUAGAAGAUGAUCUAAGCAGCAGAGCUCAGACAAAUAAUUGUCCUUCUGCAUCUGUUAAAGAAUCUAAUGUAGUAAAGUCUGAUAAACAUCAGGCUCAACCAAAACCAUUUUCUCAUAAUAUGGUAGUUUCACCCCCCAAUGCCUUACUCUUACAAGCAUCACAACUUAAGGCUGGAGAGGCAACUUCUGUAUGUGAUUUGCAGAGGCAGAAUGUUCCAUCUAAGUCUCAGUUAUCAGAGGACCCGAAUCAUGCAUCUUCUAACAGCAAAGAAUUUCAGAGUGAAGCUGGAAAAUUGAACCUUUUACCCUCUAUAUCUAUUGGAGUGCUGCAAGAAAUUGGGAGGCGGUGUAGCUCUAAGGUUGAAUUUAAGUCAAUUGUAAGCACCAGCAAAGACUUGCAGUUUUCAGUGGAGGUACUAUUCACUGGUGAGAAAAUAGGCGUUGGUAUGGGUAGGACAAGGAAGGAUGCUCAACAACAAGCUGCUGAGAAUGCCCUUCGCAACUUAGCAGAUAAGUAUGUGGCACAUAUGGAGCCUCGAUGUAGAGCUGUUGAUAAAGAAUUUGACAAGCUUUCUCUUGGACAUGAAAAUGGUUUCUUGUGGGAUGUGGUCAAUCCGGAAUCCAGUGAACUGCAAAGAGAAGAUGGAUUGCCUAGAGAUAGUGCUUCCGAGGCUUUAGAUGCCGAGACUAGGCCAUCUACACCUAAUGCCAUUAAUCAGCAAAUGGACAAGCGUACCAGUUCCCCGAGAUUGCAUCAGUCUUUUCCUAGUAAACGAUUGAAGGAAUGAACAUGUUGCAAGACAAACAAGAACUACCAUCAUUGCAGCAAUUGGAGAAUGGGCCAUUUUAAUUCAUGAAACGGCAUUUAAUCAUUUUGGAGGCAAGAGGUUUUGAUGUUUGUGAUUUGCUCAUGUAAAAUCACUGGCAUGGCCUUUGUAGAUAUGCCGAGCUCUGGCUCAUUUUUUGGUGUUGCAUUUAUCUCUAGGGGUGUGCUGUCAUUGGAUUCUGAUGCGGUCCACCUUAAUAAGAAAUAUGAGAUUGUAUACAGUUUGAAGAGAUGUAGAGGAUUGCAACCGAUUAACAGAAAUGAGUCGCAUUAGUUAGUUAGUUGGUUAGAGAAAUUAGUGGCAUGAGUGGCAUCUGUAAAACAGAAGGUAGGGGAGCACAAGGAAAAAUCAUCUGGAAUCUUGGUUAGGAUUUGGGUCUGGGAGAGUGAAGAGCCUCUCCAAUAGCUCAACACUACUCUUUAGUUGUUUAUAGUUUCUUUGUAGCAUUUUCUAUUUCUAUCUUCAGGUGAAAUAAAUCGAAUUCCUUGUAAUCCUUAGUUGAAUUUCACAGUGUAUUGUUG